AUACGGAGGGUGCAAGCGUUAAUCGGAAUUACUGGGCGUAAAGCGCUCGUAGGCGGCUUGUUAAGUCGGAUGUGAAAGCCCCGGGCUCAACCUGGGAACUGCAUUUGAAACUGGUCAACUGGAGUAUGGUAGAGGGGGGUAGAAUUUCUGGUGUAGCGGUGAAAUGCGUAGAUAUCAGAAGGAAUACCGAUGGCGAAGGCAGCCCCCUGGACCAAUACUGACGCUGAGGUACGAAAGCGUGGGGAGCAAACAGGAUUAGAAACCCCUGUAGUCC
rnacentral:rRNA from 1 species